rnacentral:piRNA from 1 species
UGAGAAAAUGGGAGACCUUUUCACGUGC